GUCUGAAAUGAACUGACUGGAGGAGCAGAAGUUGGCAAAUCCACAGCACUCAGCAUUUCCAAAACUAAUUUUCCACAUCAAGUCUCCUCUUCCUUUUCCCCAUGCUGUUUAAACAGGAAUGUAAAAAGAAACUGUUAAGGAAACCCACAUAUGUAAUUGUUAGGGGAGGAAGAAAGUUUGUGGCUGCGAAGCAGGAGAAGAGCCAGAUUGCUGUUACUGCUCCUUCUCCUGCCACAGAUUACGUGACCUUGGCAAGCCGAUGUUUCCCAGAUCAUUGACUAAUGCUGGCUGCUCACUCCUUGGACACGCAGCGUGGGACAGGUUGGAUGGAUGUUUUCAGGAGCGGUGAGCAGCCAGACUUCAAUUAGAUCGCUCAAAAUAAGGAGGGAAGCCCGAGUGUUUCAUGCACAGGCCAAUCCCACGACCCCUGAGGAUGUCGGCACCGAUGGGAAUGCAUUGCAGCCCUCCCCAGCUGCAGUCCCCACAGGAGCACUCCCUGUGCACCUCAGAGGGUACAGGUGUGACCUUGCCCAUGAGAACUGGACCAGCACAUGGAUCCAUAGGCUGUGAGUUGCCACUGGGGACUGGAAGUACCACAACACAGAGAGAACAGGUAAUUUCAGUGUAAGAGUUAUGCAAAAAAACUGGGGGAAAGCAGUGUUUGUUUGAGAUUGAUCAGAACCAUCUUUUAUUUCAGUGUUUUCUGGAAGAG
rnacentral:lncRNA from 1 species